CUUUCCGGGUUGGCUCCAAGCGGGGCCUGUCACCUACUGCAGAGCGCGAGCCGGAGGCCCAGGGCUUCCUCCAUGGAUUCCUCAUCUGCCUCCUGAGCCCCGCUCCCUGCGAGACCCCAAGGACGUGGUAGGGAUUGUUUGCCCCAUUCAUUUAUGAGGAACUCUGAGGAGGCCCAAGUGAGUUCAGGGACGCAGAGCGGCUUAAAGGCCCAGCCUGAGCCAGAAGUCUGGCAGUCCCAUUGCACUCACUGCUUCUGGGGCUUUAAAUUACCUCGUGAGACCUAAUUAUUAAUAAUCACCAGCGUUUACUGAGCCACGCACGCCCGAAGCUCUACCUACUUUCUCCUGUAGUCUUUUCCCCAGCAGUUUUAUGGAACAUAAACAUACCAUAAAUUCACGUUUAAAGUGUACAAUGAUUUUUAGCAUAUUUACAGAGUUGUGCAGCCAUCACAACAUUCUAAUUUUAGAACAUUUUCAUCACCCCAAAAAGAAACUCCUACCAAUUAGCAGUCACUCCGCAUCCUGGCUCCCCCAGUCCCUGGCAACCACUAAUCUGCUUCCUGUUUCUAUAGAUGUCCCUUUUCUGGAUAUUUCAUAUAAAUGGAAUUAUACAAUAUAUGGCCUUUUAUGUCUGGAUUCUUUCUCUUGAACAUUUUCAAGUUUCAUCCACAUUGUAGCAUGUAUCAGUGCUUCUGGAUUCACAUCUGCCCCAGGUAUGUCUGACUCCACCCCUCCCUUUCCUGGGAUAGGCCCACACCGCCAUGAAAGACCUAUACUGCCCCUCCUGGGAGCUGGGACUAUACCAGAUUUUGUUUUUCCAUUCAUCAGUGAUGGUCAUUCGCGUGUUUCUAGUUUUUAGCCAUUAUGAAUAAUGCUGCUCUGACCAUUCAGGUACAAGCUUUUGUGUGGGGGCCUUAUGUUUACAUUUCUCUUGGAUAGAUAAGGAAGAGUGGAAUUGCUGGGUCAUAUGGCAACUGUUUAACCUUUCGAGGAACUGGCAAACUGUUUUCCAAAUUGGUUGCAACAUGUCUUGUAAUCUCUUAGCAAUGAGGUAUACACCAUUAUUAGUCCCAUUUUACAGUUAAGGAGACUGAGGUAAAGUCAGUUGCCUAAGGUCCCAGAAUUAGCUGUGAAUAUAGCCAGGAUUCGAACUUAGCUCUUA
rnacentral:lncRNA from 1 species